rnacentral:rRNA from 1 species
UACGAAGGGGGCUAGCGUUGUUCGGAAUUACUGGGCGUAAAGGGCGCGUAGGCGGUGUGUCAAGUCAGGCGUGAAAGCCCCGGGCUCAACCUGGGAACAGCGCUUGAGACUGGCACGCUCGAGUUCGGGAGAGGGAUGCGGAAUUCCAGGUGUAGCGGUGAAAUGCGUAGAUAUCUGGAGGAACACCGGUGGCGAAGGCGGCAUCCUGGACCAACACUGACGCUGAUGAGCGAAAGCCAGGGGAGCAAACGGG